UGGCUGUCGUCAGCUCGUGUCGUGAGAUGUUCGGUUAAGUCCGCUAACGAGCGACCAACCCUCGUCGUAUGUUAUAUGUGUCAUACGAGACUGCCGGUAAAAGCCGGAGGAAGGUGAGGAUGAUGUCAAGUCAGCAUGACCUUUAUAUCCAGGGCUACACACACGCUACAAUGGUCUGUACAAUGGGUAGCCAAGCCGCGAGGCGGAGCCAAUCCAGCAAAACUUCCCUCAGUUCAGAUUGCAGGCUGCAACUCGCCUGCAUGAAGUUGGAGUUGCUAGUAAACGCAGGUCAGCCAUACUGCGUUGAAUACGUUCCCGGGGCUU
rnacentral:rRNA from 1 species